UGAAAAAACCAGAAAACCUUCCUUCUCAUCAAGACUCCAGCUGCAUCCUUUAACCUUUAAAGUAAAAGGUGAAAUCUAGAAAGCAUAUAUUUCAGUUGAACCUUCGAAAGAACUUGACAACUUCUAGGGUCACAAUUUGACUAAAUGUCAUGCAAACAGGAAACAACAGAGUCCUGAGCAAGAUGUUUUGAGAGAGAAUUGGGGUAACAGCAAUAAGGAAAAAAAAAUAGUUGGAAGAAGUAACACCUAUAAAGGGAUGCAAACAACCAUAUAAGCAUUCGACAUAUCAUAUGAGCAUUUAAGAAUAGUUCUCCAUGAAAAUAUGCCAGAAAAAUUGGGUCCAAAUUUCAACAAGGAUUUGACCUUCCGUGCC
rnacentral:lncRNA from 1 species